GGGGAAUCUUGCGCAAUGGGCGAAAGCCUGACGCAGCGACGCCGCGUGAGCGAUGAAGGCCUUCGGGUUGUAAAGCUCUGUGGGGAGAGAAGAAUAAGGGUUGGCUAACAUCCAACCUGAUGACGGUAUCUCCUUAGCAAGCACCGGCUAACUCUGUGCCAGCAGCCGCGGUAAGACAGAGGGUGCAAACGUUGUUCGGAAUCACUGGGCGUAAAGCGCGUGUAGGCGGCUUGGCAAGUCGGAUGUGAAAUCCCACGGCUCAACCAUGGAAGUGCAUUCGAAACUGCCAGACUAGAGUCCUGGAGAGGAAGGCGGAAUACUCGGUGUAGAGGUGAAAUUCGUAGAUAUCGAGUGGAACACCGGUGGCGAAGGCGGCCUUCUGGACAGUGACUGACGCUGAAACGCGAAAGCGUGGGGAGCAAAC
rnacentral:rRNA from 1 species